CCAGAUUUGGCUCCCUGAGAGGACAGAUGGGCCCACAGAGCAGGGUUCCCUUGAAAGGCAACAACAGGUAGGAGCUUGGUAAGAGGCCAGAAUUGAAAUGAGGAAGAAGCCUGAGCAGAAAAGAUUCAAAUACUCCUCUUUUGAAGAUCAUCACUGCCAUCUGUUUCAGAAAAAGAAUUAUAUAUGAGAUUGCUCCAAUGUACUAACAAAGAAUGCUGAAAAUAAUAUCUUUGUGCCUAUACUUGAAUAUUUCUGAAGAAUAAAUGCCUAGAGAAGAAAUGGAUGGAUCAGAAGAGGCCAAAGUGAUGGGGAAGCAGGGAUGCCUUCUUCAUGGUCAUUGUCCCUAUCCAAGGCCUCCAAGGAUCUAACAGGAGGCCAGAACCACAGAAUGGAAGAUGCCUGGCAUCCAGAAUGAUCUUAUGGAAGUCAGCCUGACUGGGAACUCUUGCAC